rnacentral:lncRNA from 1 species
AGUGCAGAGUAGCCUGGCUAAAUUUUGAUCUGUCUCUUUUUUCAGGACACUUAAGCCCCUCUAUGCAAAACCCCUUCAAGCUCAAUGAACAGAAAAAAGAUGAAAUGUGAAGACAUUUUCUUAGUGAGUUGUGAAAGGAACAUGACAUUGAUGAUGAACA